rnacentral:rRNA from 1 species
GACGAACGCUGGCGGCGUGCUUAACACAUGCAAGUCGAACGGAAAGGCCCUGCUUUUGUGGGGUGCUCGAGUGGCGAACGGGUGAGUAACACGUGAGUAACCUGCCCUUGACUUUGGGAUAACUUCAGGAAACUGGGGCUAAUACCGGAUAGGAGCUCCUGCUGCAUGGUGGGGGUUGGAAAGUUUCGGCGGUUGGGGAUGGACUCGCGGCUUAUCAGCUUGUUGGUGGGGUAGUGGCUUACCAAGGCUUUGACGGGUAGCCGGCCUGAGAGGGUGACCGGGCACAAUGGGACUGAGGUACGGCCCAGACUCCUACGGGAGGCAGCAGGGGGGAAUAUUGCACAAUGGGGGGAAGCCUGAUGCCGCAACGCCGCGUGCGGGAUGACGGCCUUCGGGUUGUAAACCGCUUUCGCCUGUGACGAAGCGUGAGUGACGGUAAUGGGUAAAGAAGCACCGGCUAACUACGUG